rnacentral:rRNA from 1 species
UGGGGAAUAUUGCGCAAUGGGGGGAACCCUGACGCAGCCAUGUCGCGUGAAUGAAGAAGGCCUUAGGGUUGUAAAGUUCUUUCGGUAUUGAGGAAGGUUGAUGUGUUAAUAGCACAUCAAAUUGACGUUAAAUACAGAAGAAGCACCGGCUAACUCCGUGCCAGCAGCCGCGGUAAUACGGAGGGUGCGAGCGUUAAUCGGAAUAACUGGGCGUAAAGGGCACGCAGGCGGUUAUUUAAGUGAGGUGUGAAAGCCCCGGGCUUAACCUGGGAAUUGCAUUUCAGACUGGGUAACUAGAGUACUUUAGGGAGGGGUAGAACUCCACGUGUAGCGGUGAAAUGCGUAGAGAUGUGGAGGAAUACCGAAGGCGAAGGCAGCCCCUUGGGAAUGUACUGACGCUCAUGUGCGAAAGCGUGGGGAGCAAACAGGAUUAGAUACCCUGGUAGUCCACGCUGUAAACGCUGUCGAUUUGGGGGUUGGGGUUUAACUCUGGCGCCCGUAGCUAACGUGAUAAAUCGACCGCCUGGGGAGUACGGCCGCAAGGUUA